UACGGAAGGUCCGGGCGUUAUCCGGAUUUAUUGGGCUUAAAGGGAGCGUAGGCCGGGGAUUAAGUGUGUUGUGAAAUGUAGGCGCCCAACGUCUGACUUGCAGCGCAUACUGGUUCCCUUGAGUAAGGGCAGCGCCGGCGGAAUUCCUAGUGUAGCGGUGAAAUGCUUAGAUAUGAGGAAGAACCCCGAUUGCGAAGGCAGCGGGCGGGAGAGCAACUGACGCUGAAGCUCGAAAGCGCGGGUAGCGAACAGG
rnacentral:rRNA from 1 species